rnacentral:rRNA from 1 species
UGCGUAGGUGGCAAGCGUUAUCCGGAUUUAUUGGGCGUAAAGCGAACGCAGGCGGUCUUUUAAGUCUGAUGUGAAAGCCUUCGGCUUAACCGGAGUAGUGCAUUGGAAACUGGGAGACUUGAGUGCAGAAGAGGAGAGUGGAACUCCAUGUGUAGCGGUGAAAUGCGUAGAUAUAUGGAAGAACACCAGUGGCGAAAGCGGCUCUCUGGUCUGUAACUGACGCUGAGGUUCGAAAGCGUGGGUAGCAAACAGG